rnacentral:tRNA from 1 species
GUGGUGUAGGGGUUAACAUGCCUGCCUGUCACGCAGGAGAUCGCGGGUUCAAAUCCCGUC